GGAUUCAUCUGGCUCCAUGUGUCCCUCUGCAGUCUCUGCAGCUCUCAUCAGGAUAAGCAACAGAGCCCAAGCCACCAUUAAUCUUGUCCUAAAGCCUAAAAUAGGUCAGUGAACAGCACCUGAAAGUCCCACUUUCCCUCCAGAUACCGGAAAGGGAGCCCACAGAGAUGAGAUCAGACACAGGCAUUAAAAAUUAGGAGGAAUAAAUCCCCCAGUGAAUUCCUUACCAUGUAUCUGGGCAUCAGCAUUGAUCCCUGGGGUUUCUGGGCCAUCUGUGAACCAUCAUCACUGUCCCCAAACUGGCCAGCACAGGCAUCCAGAGGCCACUUGAUUCCAGACAAGACAUCAGGAGGAAAGUCCAGAGACAGCAACCAAAUUCGUCAGGAAGCUGCUUCUGUCCUGUCAGUAGAAAGGGGUCUCUCCUUGGCUGCUGUUCCCUCGCUGCGUGUGACAGAGGGGUCUCUCAGGUUGGAGUCCUGAGCUGGAUGCUGGACUGGGGGGGAGAUUCCCAAUGGAUCUUGGUGUUUAAGGAUAUGGCUUCAACAUGGGUGAGCUCCCUGCACCAGCUUUGACUCAGGAUCAUCUUGCUGGGGCAUCCAUAGAAUCACAGGAUCAUGAAGGUUGGAAAAAGCCUCCAAGAUCAUCGAGCCCCACCUUUGGCCAAACACCACCAUGCCCAGCAAACCCAGACAUUCAUCAUGACCAGGUGGCUGCCCAGACAAGGGCCCUCCAUACCCAGAAACCCACCUGCAGGGUAUUUAUCUGUGUUCCUCCCACUCCAGUGAGGUGAGUGCCAGCUCUGACCAAGCUGAGCUGCUGCAGCAUCUCUCUCACUGCUUUGCUUUGCUUGAACAAACCUGUCAAAGCUGCUGCUUUCAA